rnacentral:misc_RNA from 1 species
UUUCCGUAGGUGAACCUGCGGAAGGAUCAUUAGUGAACGCCCUCACGGGCUUAUAACUAUUCCAAACCUCUGUGAACCGUGCCCUUCGGGGCUAUUUUACAAACAUGGUGUAAUGAACGUCAUAUAUCAUAACAAAACAAUACUUUCAACAACGGAUCUCUUGGCUCUC